rnacentral:rRNA from 1 species
UACGUAGGGUGCAAGCGUUGUCCGGAAUUAUUGGGCGUAAAGAGCUCGUAGGCGGUCUGUCGCGUCGGAUGUGAAAACCCGGGGCUUAACCCCGGGCCUGCAUUCGAUACGGGCAGACUCGAGUGUGGUAGGGGAGACCGGAACUCCUGGUGUAGCGGUGAAAUGCGCAGAUAUCAGGAAGAACACCGGGGGCGAAGGCGGGUCUCUGGGCCACUACUGACGCUGAGGAGCGAAAGCGUGGGGAGCGAACAGG